CUCACUUUCAUCUCAUAUGUGUGAUCUGUACGCAAAACAUGAGGGGCAAGACUGUCUGGGGAACCACAAGCAUGUAGUAUUGUAGAAGAGAAGACGGCUGCCUUCUGCUUAUACCACAGCAAAGACUGAGAGACUUGGACGUCUACAGGCAGCCAUUGGGAAUAGCUGCCAUUUCAAGGAGCUCCAAAUACCCUCUGAGAGGAGAGCUCACAGCACAACAUAAUGCCCCUGCAAGAAGCCAUCGGAAAGAUAAACGCAGACCUCCAAAGGGCCAUGCCUUCAAGAUGCCACCUCUUGGAUUUAGUGACCAAAUGAGUGUCGAGACACUGUGUAUUCCAGCCAGCAGAGGUUUCUGUUUUGUCAGAUCUUCACCUUCUCCACCUGGUUGUGACAGGCCAAGAAACAAUCAUCUAAAUUUUGCUCUUGAUCGAUAUUAAGAAGAAGGGAUGGGUGAGUAUUGAUACCAGGUAUCGGUAUCAGGCGGAUAUCGGCCUUAUUUCAAAGUAUCGGCUACUUGUGAAGGCUGACGAUACCGGCUGCUGAUACUUAAGGCAAAACAUAAAUAAAUACAUUAAUUAAUUGAUUAAAAAAAAUAAAUGAGUAAGUCCUCCUUGCCAGUAGUUGGCGCUACACUGCAGCCGUUUGACAUCAUGUCAGAAAGAAAGAUGUUUGUUCACAACCAUCUGUCAUUGUGUUAAUUUAAAUUUUAUGUAUCAAAAGUACUCGUGGUAUUGGUACUUAGUAUAGGUGAGUACUCAAGAGUAAAUACUAGUGCUGGUAAGGGUCUGAACAAAAGUGUGAGGCAGACGUGCUAACCACUAAACUACCUCGGUAAUGACUGUAUCUGAAAAAAAUAAUUGUCAAAAUAAUAAGCAUCUACUGUGAUUAGUGAGCAGUCAGCCAGCAUAAACUCAUAGUACUAGUAACCCUAAUCCAUUAAAAAUGUAACACUAUUAUCAUAUUGCUCUUACAUAGCUGUUAUUAAGGGAUUUAAUUUCAAUUAAAUACAGAAAAAUCUACAAAAAAAUACCUUAUUAUUUAUUUAUUUAUUUACCAUUUUAGAAAGUAUUAACUCUUGGUCUAUUCACUGUUAUGUGGAAAUGUGUUUUCAAGACAUAGACAAAAGCAUAGACGAGACAUGGUAAACUAGAAUCCAUGAGCUCAAAAUGCAACGUCGAAUCAUACUCCUAUAAUUGCACUUUGAUUCCCAAAAUAUCUAAUAAUAGUAUGUUUGUGGAAAUAGUAGCCUGAUGAAAAAAAGCUUGCAAUAUUUGUUGUUUAAGUUCCAUCCAUCCAUCUUCUACACAUCUUAUUCUCACUGGGGUCGCAGGUGUGCUGGAGCCCACCCCAGCUGACUUCAGGCGAGAGGUGGGGUACACCCUGAACUCGGUGCCGGCCAAUAGCACGGCACAUAUAGACAAAGAGCAGGAAGUGUGGGUAUAGAAUCCCCAAUGGAGAAAGGCUCAUAGAAGGAAAGAAAACACACAAUUUGGAUAAGAUGCUAAUGUAGCAUAAUCUUCCAUUGUUUGAACCUAACAAUAGAAUAUGCAUAAAGAAGUAGUGACAUCUUACAUACAGUAUAUAAUGUCUAUGAGGCUGAGGUGGGAAAUCCCACUAUUUUCUCCCUGCUUCCAGUUCUGAAGGCAAGUUCAUCUAACCGUCCUUUAGCUUGAGUGGUAUUGAUCUCUACAUCUCACUGCGAGGAGCAAACGCCCAUACAAGCACAUUUUCCAAAAUGCUGAACCAUGAACACAGAUUGUCCAUUAUAUGCUUCACUCACAGCUCUCUUGCAAGGCUAAGAGCAAAAGCAAUUGAAAAAUAUUGGUCAGGAACCGUACCUCCACUGAUGUAUUUUAUGUUGGUUCUAUUUUAUCCACCCUUGUCUUAAUGUAAUCCUAGUUCAGGUGCUGUCUUAACAGUCUACUUCCUAUCAAAGUGUUCCAUUAACCAAGUGCUGAUUUAUUCGUGGAGAAGCGUCACUGGAGUGCACGGCAACGCAAACAGCAGAGCUUAAAAUAAAGGCGUCCAUCCCAUGAAGCCAUCAAAGAGCAUACCCCGGUCGAGUAUUACUCCAGUCAAUCCUAAUCGUAUAAAGUAUCCGGGUGCCCCAAUGUAAGAAAGGAUUCAUUACAGGAUGAACGCGGAUCCAUAGACAUUCCCAUUUUUCAAUUUAACUGGAUUAUCAUCGUCUUCUUCAGCCCCGUGAAAUUGCCUGAGCUGCCCGGACUGCGCGGCGCGCUUGGCCACGGACACUUAUGUGCUGUUCAGUGAACAAUGGAGAAGAGCGGGGCCAUUAGCCUACACAAGAAGAUCCAUAUCCAUAUCCCCGCCCUUGCCUGACUCCCGUCUGUCUCCCUUUUUAAUCUUCCUCUGUCAUCUACCCAUAAAUAGUCCCUUGCAAGCAGUUUUAUCUCACCAAAAUGCAAGCCAAGGCAAGAUACCGUCCAUUUUCCAUAGGGCCUGUCCUCGAGAUCGCAGGUGAGCUGCAAUCUAUCCCAGCUGACGUCGGUCGGACCGGUCACCAGACAAUCGCAGGGUGGCAAGAAAAUUGUGUUGUUCUACAACGAUGUAAAAGACAUUCCCUCAGCAGUAUUAAAGAUGA